rnacentral:rRNA from 1 species
GAUGAACGCUGGCGGCGUGCCUAAUACAUGCAAGUCGAGCGAACGGACGAGAAGCUUGCUUUUCUGAUGUUAGCGGCGGACGGGUGAGUAACACGUGGAUAACCUACCUAUAAGACUGGGAUAACUUCGGGAAACCGGAGCUAAUACCGGAUAAUAUUUUGAACCGCAUGGUUCAAAAGUGAAAGACAGUCUUGCUGUCACUUAUAGAUGGAUCCGCGCUGCAUUAGCUAGUUGGUAAGGUAACGGCUUACCAAGGCAACGAUGCAUAGCCGACCUGAGAGGGUGAUCGGCCACACUGGAACUGAGACACGGUCCAGACUCCUACGGGAGGCAGCAGUAGGGAAUCUUCCGCAAUGGGCGAAAGCCUGACGGAGCAACGCCGCGUGAGUGAUGAAGGUCUUCGGAUCGUAAAACUCUGUUAUUAGGGAAGAACAUAUGUGUAAGUAACUGUGCACAUCUUGACGGUACCUAAUCAGAAAGCCACGGCUAACUACGU